rnacentral:rRNA from 1 species
AUAUUGGUCAAUGGGCGCAAGCCUGAACCAGCCAUGCCGCGUGCAGGAUGACGGUCCUAUGGAUUGUAAACUGCUUUUGCACAGGAAGAAACACUCCGACGUGUCGGAGCUUGACGGUACUGUGGGAAUAAGGAUCGGCUAACUCCGUGCCAGCAGCCGCGGUAAUACGGAGGAUCCAAGCGUUAUCCGGAAUCAUUGGGUUUAAAGGGUCCGUAGGCGGUCUUGUAAGUCAGUGGUGAAAGCCCAUCGCUCAACGAUGGAACGGCCAUUGAUACUGCAGGACUUGAAUUAUUGGGAAGUAACUAGAAUAUGUAGUGUAGCGGUGAAAUGCUUAGAGAUUACAUGGAAUACCAAUUGCGAAGGCAGGUUACUACCAAUGGAUUGACGCUGAUGGACGAAAGCGUGGGUAGCGAACAGG